AAACAAGAAGUAAAGCGGAGCUGGCUCCUUCGGGGUUACAGGCUUGCUGAAUUAUUCACCCGUGUCUUUUGCGUACCUCUUGUUUCCUUGGUGGGUUCGCCCACCAUAGGACAAACCAUAAACCUUUUGUAAUUGCAAUCAGCGUCAGUAAAAAAAAUUAAUAAUUACAACUUUUAACAACGGAUCUCUUGGUUCUGGCAUCGAUGAAGAACGCAGCGAAAUGCGAUAAGUAGUGUGAAUUGCAAAAUUCAGUGAAUCAUCGAAUCUUUGAACGCACAUUGCGCCCUUUGGUAUUCCAAAGGGCAUGCCUGUUCGAGCGUCAUUUGUACCCUCAAGCUUUGCUUGGUGUUGGGCGUCUUGUCUCCAGUUCGCUGGAGACUCGCCUUAAAGUAAUUGGCAGCCGGCCUACUGGUUUCGGAGCGCAGCACAAGUCGCGCUCUCUUCCAGCCAAGGUCAGCAUCCACAAAGCCUUUUUUCAACUUUUGACCUCGGAUCAGGUAGGGAUACCC
rnacentral:rRNA from 1 species